rnacentral:rRNA from 1 species
UACGGAGGGUGCUAGCGUUGUUCGGAAUUACUGGGCGUAAAGCGCGCGUAGGCGGUCCUGCAAGUCGGGGGUGAAAGCCCGAGGCUCAACCUCGGAACUGCCUUCGAUACUGCGGGUCUCGAGUCCGGGAGAGGUGAGUGGAAUUCCUAGUGUAGAGGUGAAAUUCGUAGAUAUUAGGAAGAACACCAGUGGCGAAGGCGGCUCACUGGCCCGGUACUGACGCUGAGGCGCGAAAGCGUGGGGAGCAAACAGG